UUGUUUUGCUUAACAACACAGCUAGAGAAAAUUGAUUUAUUAAUCAUCGACUAUUGGAUGUCAAACAUUUAGUAAUUCUGACAGUCUUAGAGUGUCACAAGUCAAGGGUAAUCAGAGCAGAAUGUGAUUUGAAAGUAAUUAUUUGUAGAUUUACUAUACUAUGUUUAUUAGUACACAUGUGGUAUUUUUAGUUGUACACAUGAAGUUUAUAGUAUAAUACUUAUUAUCAAUUAUACGGUAAUACAGGUGGUACAGUUGAGAGAAAUGGAAUACAUUAGUCAUAGCUUGGAUCGUGAAACUAAAGGUUUCUUGGUAUGGGAUUAAUUAGGCAAGGUAGGAAUUUGUAUUGUUAUAGCUUGUAGCAGGAGUGAGUGGAUGGUAACUGAAAAGCUGACUGUGUGAAUAAAAGAGAUGACUUAGUUAUUGUUUGGGACAGUGUGAUUUAUUUUUGAGAGAGAAUAGUGAACAAGAGUUGUGCAAGUUGGACAGAAGUUUGUGAAAGACUUUGGUGUUUAUAGUUUGGGUUAAGGCUUAACCGUAAGUAAUUAAAUACUUGAUAUUUAGUAUGUAUUGUUAUUUUGUAAUGGAUAUAAAACAUAAUUGUAUUAUGUUAAAGUGUAGUAGUAUGGUAAUGACAUAUUAAUUUUAUAAAGAUGUGGAUAAUGAAUAUUUAGUAUAACUUGUAUAAUGUGGACAUUGAGUAAAGAGAUGAAGUUGAUUGGUAUAUAAAGUGGAUGGAAUAAUAAGGUGUUACAUCAUAGUAAUUAAGUGUAUCUUGGUUACAGCACUGUAAGAGGUAUCUGUUCUAGAUGGUACAGAAGUAGUGUUUACUGAGAGAUGUAGAGAUGGCUUGCUUGUGUGGAGAUGUAUCCAGCGUUAUAGAGAUGGCUUGCCUGGAUAAAGAUGUGGCUGAGAGUUGAGCUUGUGGAGGUGUGGUGAUUCGCGGAGGAGUGGUACACAAGAGAGUGUAGUGUGUGGUGGUAAUGUGGAAAUGAAGUUCCAUGUGUGGGCUAUUUUAUUAGCCAUGUUCGGGUAACAUAAAAACAACGGAUUGUUGUUUUGUAAUUUUAUUAUUAUACUGUGCAAGUAUAAUAAUGGAGGUGUGGUGAAUGCGGAAGGUGAAGAGAAGGAUGAGUUGUGCAAUUAGUUCAUAAUUGUAUUAGUUAACAACGUGCUCAUGUAUGUGUUGAAACAUUAGCAGUGAUAGUUUAUAAUGGAAGAAAGUAGUAUGUGCAAUACUGCUUAAUUAGUUAAUAUAAAUAAGUGACUUUGGGUGUUAUAAAAGAACUGUUUUAAUGAAGAUAUAUGAAGUCAUAAGUGGACAUUGAUAUCUUAUUUUGAAUACGUAAUAUUUUAAAUAUUACGUGGUGCUAUAUGUGAUGUGAUAUAUACUUAAUACAUUGAGUAGUAUUUGUGUGUAAUUAAUAUUGAGUAGUGUGGUGAUCAUCUGUACUAAAUUGGUGACUGGUGAAAUUUGUUAAAUGUGUGAUGGAGAGAAAGGUUUGGGUGUGAGGGGUUGUGUUAGUGUGCAUUGAUGUAUGAUGAAUAGGCCUAUGGUUUGAGUAAUGAUUGAAAUGUGUGAGUGUAUAUGAUUAUUAUUUGCUGAUGUAAAUAAAUGUAGCAAACUUA